UUUGCUCCCGCAGGACCUCCAAGGACACGUGCUUGGCGAAACAGGAGCUAGCGGCCAGCAGCAUUUCUCUGCUGCUGGCUGUGGCGCGGAGAUUUCCCCCAACUCAGAAUGACAGUAAUUCAGCCACACCUGACAUGCUUCCAGCGGAGACCCAAAGAAGAUGGCAUCAUCAUUGAAGACUUGUAGUCAGUGCAGACCUCAGGCUCCGCUGGACACCAGAGAGAGGCCACUGGGUGACAGAAUGAUGCCGGCAAGACCUCCUGAUCUGCCUUUCCAUGGGGGCAAUGUUGAUAUUUUCACUCCCUCCCAUUGCGAGAAUCUCCUGAAAUGAUGUUUUCAGAAAGGAGGGGGCAGAAACUGCUCUUUGCUUCUUCCGCUCCUGCCUGACUCUGGGUGCUGUCUGAGUUUUAUCUAUGUGGUGAUUAGAUGGCUGAGUGAGAGCUGGGCUGGAUGGACUAAGGGCCUGAUUCUGCAUAAGGCAGCUUCCAGUGUUCCUAUGGGUAACUUUAGCUCGUACCUGUCAAGCGAGCCCAAGUAGUUCUGUGUCCUGAUUUUCACUGUAGCAAAUUACUGCUUUUUAGCUGGCAAAGAAGUACUUUUGACAACCGAUACUCCUGCGAAAGAGCUAGUUGUAUCACCGGUAUUUUAGCCGUUAAACCACAGAGCAUAUCCCCGGCCCCGUUAAUGUGCAAAUGUGGAGCGGCUGGGCAGGAUCUUUGAGGGGCGGAUGUUUCCGAAAAGUCAAAACAAUGGCCGUCUUU